ACGCAAACAAUACUUUGUAUAAAAAAUAAUGACAUAUUAUAAAUGACAAUUUUAAUGUAUGUAAAUGACAUUUUCAAUAACUAAAAAAAAUCCUACUUUGUCAAAUUGACUGGGGCGAAAAUGGGAAAAAUGAGGGAUCGGCCGAGUUGGGCCUUGCGCGGGCGCAUGUUUGACCCAACCACAUAGUUCGUUCCGGUGAAAAAGUUUAUCAAAAUUUAAUAUAAAAGCUCCAAUAAAGUAUGUAUGUAAUGUAUGUAUAUUUUUAAAAUUUUCACAUUUUAUUAUUACUUAAUAAA
rnacentral:lncRNA from 1 species